rnacentral:rRNA from 1 species
UUAUCGGGAUCGAGGACAUUGUGUGGUGGGUAGUUUGACUGGGGCGGUCUCCUCCCAAAGAGUAACGGAGGAGCACGAAGGUACCCUCAGGCUGGUCGGAAAUCAGCCAAUGAGCGCAAGAGUAGAAGGGUGCUUGACUGCGAGACAGACACGUCGAGCAGGUGCGAAAGCAGGUUCUAGUGAUCCGGUGGUUCUGUAUGGAAGGGCCAUCGCUCAACGGAUAAAAGGUACUCCGGGGAUAACAGGCUGAUACCGCCCAAGAGUUCACAUCGACGGCGGUGUUUGGCACCUCGAUGUCGGCUCAUCACAUCCUGGGGCUGAAGCCGGUCCCAAGGGUAUGGCUGUUCGCCAUUUAAAGUGGUACGCGAGCUGGGUUUAGAACGUCGUGAGACAGUUCGGUCCCUAUCUGCCGUGGGCGUUUGAGAUUUGAGAAGAGUUGCUCCUAGUACGAGAGGACCGGAGUGAACGAACCUCUGGUGUUCCGGUUGUCACGCCAGUGGCAUUGCCGGGUAGCUACGUUCGGACGGGAUAACCGCUGAAAGCAUCUAAGCGGGAAGCCCCCUUCAAGAUGAGAUCUCACUGGGCCCUAGAGGCCCCUAAAGAGCCGUCCGAGACCAGGACGUUGAUAGGCAGGGUGUGUAAGCGUUGUAAGGCGUUGAGCUAACCUGUACUAAUGGCUCGUGAGGCUUGACCAUAUAACGCCGAAGGCGUUUGG